rnacentral:rRNA from 1 species
GACGAACGCUGGCGGCGUGCUUAACACAUGCAAGUCGAACGCUGAAGACCUGGCUUUUGUUGGGUUGGAUGAGUGGCGAACGGGUGAGUAACACGUGAGUAACCUGCCCUCUUCUUUGGGAUAACGCCCGGAAACGGGUGCUAAUACUGGAUAUUCACUGAUCUUCGCAUGGGGGUUGGUGGAAAGGUUUGUUCUGGUGGGGGAUGGGCUCGCGGCCUAUCAGCUUGUUGGUGGGGUGAUGGCCUACCAAGGCUUUGACGGGUAGCCGGCCUGAGAGGGUGACCGGUCACAUUGGGACUGAGAUACGGCCCAGACUCCUACGGGAGGCAGCAGUGGGGAAUAUUGCACAAUGGGCGAAAGCCUGAUGCAGCGACGCCGCGUGAGGGAUGGAGGCCUUCGGGUUGUAAACCUCUUUCGCUCAUGGUCAAGCCGUAACUGUGGGUUGUGGUGAGGGUAGUGGGUAAAGAAGCGCCGGCUAACUACGUG